UUUUUCGCAGAAGGAACAAUUUAGAGGAAACUGCGAGAGACAAUCGAAACCUUGUCCGUGUGUAAUAAUGGGAAAAAAGUUUCUCAGGCAUUCCUAACAGCAAGCAGAUCAACCCACGCAGCAUAGAAACGACAAGACAAGACGACGACUGCUGUAGGAUCGUUCGAUGCAACCACGUUCGCACUUCUCGCUCAUUCUCAGGUAAUCAGGGUCUAUCGAGCAAAUUAAGGCAGCAGCACAGCAGCAGCACGCAAUGUGGUCAGGCGGUAACGGAGCCAGAUCCGUGGCGCGCAGCUGUGCGCAAUCAUGCACUAUCUCGACGUCGCC